CCCCACUGGCUUCCUCACCGCCAUCGAUGCCGAGCCGACGCCAACGCCUCCAGCAGCCUAGCGGCAACAGUAAGCAGGUGUUCCUCAACCUCCAGCUCUAUCUAUCACUCUUUGUUAGUUGUUACUGUGUAAAUGAUUGAUUUGUUUGUACUAAGGAGCUUGGUUAUACUGUGUAAAUGAUUGAUUUGUUUGUACUAAGGAGCUUGGUUAUACUGUGUAAAUGAAUGAUAUCUUCUGUUAAUUUUGUAGAAGAGAACUAUGUAGUAUGUACUGAUUAUGGAGUGAAAGCACUGAAUAAUAGGCUAUAUAUACUCUAUACAUUAUUAUACCAUAGUAUCUUGCUAUAAUUUUUUUUAGAAUAUUUGUUAUGCAAAUUAUAUGAAGUUAUAGAAGAAUAUGUUUUUGCUGUGAGGCUCAGUUUGAGGGGUUUAUGUAUUCUGAUGAAUUUUCGUUACCGUAUCCGCGGCGGUUCGUUUUCGCUCCGUUUUCGGUUUCAAUAAUAUUCGUUUCCGUUUUCGGUUUCAAUAAUAUUCGUUUCCGUUUUCGUUUUUGGGGUUUCCGAUUUCGAUUCCGAUUCCAAAAAAAAAUAUGAAAACGAAAACGAUAAAGGUUGUUUCCGUACGUUUCCGUACCGUUUUCACCCCUACCUCCUAGAGUUGGAGCUCAGCCAAACAGUUUCAACUCCACCAAAACUAGGAGUGGAGCUGGGUGGAGCUCUCUUACAAAAUGAACUAGAGGGCAGCUCCACAACUCCACUCCAGACCCAACUCCUGGAGCUAAAUUUAGGAGUUGGAGCUGUACCAAACAGGCCUAUAUGUUGCACUUGGUUAUAUUUGAGUGUUUCAGGUAGUAUUUUAGGAUGAUUCACUAGUUGAUCUUAAAAUGCUGCAGGUGGUGUUCUUCGAAUGCUUCAUCAAAUAUUUUAUGAUGUUUUAGUAGUCACAAGUUAAUGUUUCCUUACAUGAUAUAAUAAUGUUUCAACAUUUUCAAGUAUUUGUAAAAAAAAAUUGUGUUUCAUAUGAUUUAUAUCGAUGUUUCAUUACAUGAUAGAAAAAUUUUUAGUGGAGCGGUUGUCAGGGUUGCAAUAACAAAUUAUGAAUGCUGUAUCUCCUUGAAACAUUUUAAAACAUUUUAUACAUAGAACUAGAACAUUUGACCAAGUAAUGAAACAAUUUAUUUUAAGUGUUGCAACAUUAUUUGAUUUUUUAUCAAAAUAGAAACAAGUAACAUCUGGUUAUAAAGAUUUAGUUGUGACGAACACAACGGUGUAAUCAAAUCGUAGAAUGGAUAAUUAGUUUAGAAGAAAAAAUAUUUGAAGAAGUGGGAGGAAAUUUCCAAUCGGACAUCCGAUCCUCUCUCAAAAAACCGGACGGUCAAAUGUUUCAGUUAACCGCUUGUGAAACAUUAAGUUAUACAUGGUGAAAAAAAAAUCAGUCAUUAAAACAUUUAAAAAGUGUGUGAAACACAGUGAAAACACACCUUGAAACAUAUUGUUAUCGUGUAUGAAACAUCAAAUAUUAACAUAUUGAAACUAAAUAUCAAAUAUGAACAGAUUGAAACAUAUGUUUUUCUUUCAUCAAAACAUAAUCAUGUGAUAUCUUAUUUUAAAUAUUUAAUUACAAUAAAUAGAAUGGUGUGAUCAGAUCGUAGAUCGAAUAAGUAGUUCAGGAGAAAAAUCAUUUUAAAGAUAGCUAAAUACAUGCAUGCAUGCAUGCAAGGAGUGGAGAGAGAUAGAGUAUGUGCAAGUAGUUAAAUGAAUUUUGUGAAACAUAGCAAAAGCACAUGAUGAAACAUGUCACUAUCACGUAUGAAACAUUGAGUUAUAACGGUUUGAAACAUAUAUUCUUCUUUUAUCAGAAUAUAAUUAUGCAAUAUCUUAUUGUAAAGAUUUAAUUAUAAUAAAUAUAACAGUGUGAUCGGAUCGUAAAUCGGACAAAUGGUUUAAGAGAAAAAAAACAUUUAAAGUGAGGAGAAGAAAGAAGAGAAACUACCUAGCACUUAUCUGCGUGCACAUUAUAGUAAGAGGAGAGCGCCCGAUUUUUCUCUCCAAAUCGGCAUGCCGAUCGUAAGCAUUUUCCGAUUAGUUUCCUAGUAUGACUCUUAAGUCUUUCCCCACUAGUACUCCUAGAUCUUUGCUAUAUAUAUCCCUUGUAAGCCGGAUGGGGAGGGUGCGACAGUCCAAUGUAUCCACUACGCUUGUAAUCAACUCCUUAAUAGUGAUCGCUACCGGUCGGUACCGUGGUUUUUUCUCGAAAGGGUUUUCCCCAUAAAAAUUAUAUCUCUGUUGUGCAUUUAUUUUUAUAACAAAGCUAGUGGCUGUUGGUAUUGCGGCUGCUUUAUGGGCAAUUUGGAAAAUGGCCUGCUUUGAGAAUAUUCUUCCUAAUGAUCUCGUAGAUGUAAUCUUUCAGGUAGCUCAUUGUAUCUUUGAUUGGGCAAUUUUACAAAACAAGGAGGAAGAAACAAGAAGACUGCAGGAGGGGGGCAGACUGCUAAAACGAGUGGUAAAUGAGGUUUAUAGCACCAGGCAUGGUUGGGGCUCCAAGACAGGAAGAUAACCAUGGUGGUAAAUGAGUCGAGCAAUUUCUUAGCGCAGCUUUGAUUAACCCUGGGGAUUUUCCUUGUGGGAGAAAUUAAAACUUUGUAGCCAACCUGAACACUGCCACAGUGCCACCGAGCACCUGGUGUGCAAGUAUGUCUUAUUCUUUUUGUUAGCCUCUCUUCUUACUUUCUUAG
rnacentral:lncRNA from 1 species